GCCAGGCAGCUAACGGGAGAGGUGUGAUGAACCUGGGAUGUAUAAAGCCUCCCGCACAGCAUCGAGAAACCAGGGGAACACCUUGAGAGAGACGCAGACGCGCCGCCCCGGAGCCGCCGGAGGACGCAGCCGAGCGCAACAUGGGCCUGCGUGGCGCAUGUGGACGGGCGAGCCAACACACCGCAGGAAUGUGUGCAGUUAAGAGGGAAACACAUGCUCGGACAUUACUCUGUGUAAUCGUUUUCAAGUCCUCUCUGAGUCUAAUUGAAAAUACUGGGGCCACUUUGCUGCGCCCCCGACGGAAACCUAACAUUGGAGACGAGCCAGUGACGCGCUGAAAAUAACCAGGUUAGCACUUAGUGCCGGUCCAUUUUGGGGAGGGCCCAACACGAGGGCGCAGCACCAUAUAUCAGCUCCUUCCAGCUGUUUGGGAAUAUCCUGCUCAUAAUAUCGCGGCUGCAGCAUGGCAGCAGGCUGCUUUUUCACUCCCGCUCUCCCUGUUUGCAGAAUGGAUACUGUGUGACUGACCGGGUGCUGGGUGCGCACUGGGGGGAUCUCCCGAUAGGAAACGCUGAAGCUUCUUCUUCUUUUUUUUCUUUUUCUUUUUUUUUUUUUUUUUGUUGGGAGGGCAGGAGGUGGGAGACUGGCACAAAGCGCGACACUGUUGCGUCUGCACGUUUUUUUCUCCUUGAACAGACGGGGAAAGAUGGGCCGGGUUGGUUGGUUGGAGAGGGGGGGACUGUCCGACUUAUUCCAAAAGACAAUUCGUUGGCCUCCAACCCCCUCAAAAGGAUAAUCUUGCUCAAUUUGGGAUGCGAGCAGCGCCAAGUGAUCACAUAUUAGUUGGGCGGCGGUGCUGCUGCUGCUGCUGCUGCUGCUGGCGGUGGAUGGACGGUGAAGUUUAACUUCGCUUCCAGACGCGGUCUCCUCUCCAGGCAGCCAGACAACCAACCAGACAGUCGGCGCUUUUCUUUUUUUUCACCUCCCUUUGAAAAAAAAAAAAAAAAACAAAAAAAAAACGUGAAGUCUCCAUAUGGCUACGGGAUGCUGACACCUGCCCGGUGCGCAGGUAACUCCAGGUUCUCCUGCCAGACAGCAGAUCAAUAGGUAUGUAUGAACCGGUUAUAGAUUAUAGAGCCCUCAUCAGGUGCUCCGGAUGGAUUUCCAGAAUCCAUAGGUUAGAAACCUUUUCCUCCUCAUGCAGUCCCCCGGCGGUGGGACUGAUGAAGAGGAUGAUGAGGAUGGUGUGUGUCAGAGGCUGGGUCUUUGCGGGCAAGGUGAGUCCUGAAUUCAUUCAACUGGCCUACAAAGUCCCAGUUUCUGGCUCAUGUGACCCCCAAGUCGUAGACAGCACACUUCUGCUACGUUUUUAUCAUUUAAAGAAAAAAAUCGGGAGCAGAUUGGAAGGAUUAAGCUUUUUUUUUUUUUUUAAGUAUUGUGAUAUCUGAGGGGAUAAAGUCUCACUAAAACAGUGUAUAAUGCCAGGAAUCACACAACUUAAUACAGCAGAAUGGCUGUAGUAUAUAUUUUUUGCAGUGAAGCCUUCCAUGUGCAUUACUAUAACACCACAAAGUCACUUUUAAAUACCACAGAUUUUAAACUGCAUGUAUGUAAUAAUGUGCAAGCUAAACCUUAGACAUUACGUAAUAAAUAAACAGCUGCAGGGGCUCAAGCAAAAAGAAAAACAUGUAAUUAAUGUAAAAUUAACUAUUUAGCUGCUUAAAUGACCAAUAAGUGAACGUCACUGCUUUAAAAAAUAGCUAAAAAAAUGAGUCAAACUUUUCACUUGCAGUCUUGAAUGAGAAAAGUGCUUCUAAGUGUGACUGAAAACCAGAGCAAGAGCUUGUUUUCUGACAAAAACAAUGAUGAACAACUUUCACAUGACAUUUCUCGUGAAGAAAAAAGUAGCUCUGCUUUUUUACAGUUGUCCUCAUUCCGUUGUACAGUUCCAGAUCAAUUGUUUUCAAAACAAAUUCAUUUUUUCCAGCUUCUUUUCCUCCUCAGCUUAAUCAGAAAUAGGCCAAAUUAGGGGAAAAGAACAUGAAGAAAGUUAAACUUCCAGUUAUUUUUGUUGGAUUCAUCUCUUUUCAAAGACCACACAUGAGAAGAAUUUAAAUUUGCAGCCUUAUAGAGUUACUCAUGCCGCUAUUGAAUGCAGAUGAGCAGUCAAGUUAAAAAAUGUGAGCGCAUCUCUGGAAGCUUACAGCUCAAGCUCUGCAUCAACUUACCCAAAUUAACAAAUAAGAAGAGGCAGAGCUGUCUAAAAAAACACACUCUAUUAUGUCGAACAAGUGUGUCAAGUAGGAGAAGAAGUUGUUUUGGAGGCCUGUUUCUAUAUCUGUCCUGACCCUAGCAUGCCGUACAUACGCCACUAAUGAAUUUAGCAUCCUGACACUAGAUGCUUUAUGUAAUUAAUAGAGCCGAGGGCUGUGGUGGCAUCUCCGUGCUGCAAGUGACACAUAGGUAAGACAUUCGCUGAAGCAUGGGAUUUUUAUUUCAAAAACACAAGAGCCCUGCGAUUAUUAAAACACACCUAAAACAGUUGUGUAAAUGAAACCGACUCCCCCCCUGACAGCACAAUAGCUGGGAUUGCCAAUCUUUCUGUCAGUUAUAUUUAUUAAACUGUUAAUACUCGGUCAUAAGCUAUUUGCAGGCCGUGUAUAACACGCGGGUGGCAGGGCAUUUGUUUGUGCAAGCCUGCUAUUACAUAUUAGUAAGUUGCUGUGGACUGAAGUUACAGGAAAGUUGACACUUGAGGUUCUAAUUAAAUUCUGCCUGAUUGCAGGUUUCAUCCUAAUGCUAAUUAACAGUGAUUAAAACAUCUCACUACUCUUAAUGCCCCUGUUAUCAGACGAUUGUAAGAUUAUUAAAAUCAAAUGCAGAGAAUGCAUUAAACCACCUCGGAUUGGUGGAGAUGCUCUCAGCUAUCAUCACCGAUUCCAUCCAACGUAGCCCACUGAAGUGCAGUGACACAUCAACAGAAAGCAGAUAAAACCUCUCCAGCCAAGAGCUCUCCAUAUAUGCUGCAGGAGAGCACAAGCCAGUGCGAGUAUGAGAGCUGAGGGCCUAGUAAGGGAGGCUUGGUGGAAUGAGCCUGGUUUGAAUAAGCAGCAUGGCUACGGGGAGCUCUGGGAUAGUCACCAAGUGUGCUGAUUAAAAUUGUGAUAUUAAACAGUGCUGGCUGCUACUGCCUGCCAAGCCUCUCUCAGUGGCAUUUCACAUUGUUUAAAAGGCCCAAUCGGACUCAUCUCACCACUUGCUGCACAGUGUUGCUUAUAUCUUUUUUUUCCACCAAGGCUGUCUCAUAUUCUCUCCUCACACCAUUUCUUAGCAGGGUUGCAGUGUAACUUUAAAUAGACUUUUCCUACAAUUCCCAGGUCUUUUCCUGCUCUGGGUUCAGCUAGUUCAAGAGCAAUCGGUGCAUGUGUGUUUUAUUGUGAGCAUCAUAUAGAGAGAAAAAAAAAACAGCCUUAGAUUGUGUUUACCUUUUCCGUGAAAGCUGAACUUCUAAUGAACACACGGCGUGCUCCUUCUCGGAAAUUCUGCUCUGAACUCAUUCAACCCCCUUUAAAAAACGUCACUGCAAAUCCUCGUAAAAUGUUGCCAUUAUAAAUAUACAAUUCAAAAAUACUGGAAAGUGUGUUCGCUUUAUGUGAAAUAUACGACCGAGCCCCUCCUUAAAAGGUCAGACUUCAUACACUGUGGUCACCCCAGGUUGUUGCAUUUCUGUAGCCGCGACUGCACGGAUACCAACGCCGUGCACCAAAUCGCAUUCGAGGAGCCAGCAAAUGUUGUAGUUUGAUCUCAAAAGUUUGGAAUGAGACAGAAAGAUUAAGCUCAGGAGGGAGAGAGGGAGAGAGAAAGAAAAGGCAGCAAGAAAAGUGAGGGACUUUUAGGGGCAGCUGUGUUUUAUUAACCCAGUCAUAAUGCCCCUAAAAAUCCUUAUUGCUCUUGCAAUGGUCAACAAAUCUCCUUUUGCAACAUGUAGAGGAUCUCUGAGCAGCGCACAGGGAUUCACAAGAUCAAUCCGUCACAGCGCAGGGCCAAGGCACAGUUCAGCACAUAUGAGUGGGUCACAGAGGUUACGCAGAGAGAUUUUAACCUCUGUUAAACCAACCGUAGAAGGCACAGUGCUUAUGGAAUUGCAGAGCACAUGAAAGGAAGGAUACAGUCUCGGGGGGGAGCUGCUGAAAUCGAACUGAAACCUUUGUCAAAAGUUUCUCAACACGUUUGCUGUUGCAGAUAAGUUGGAAGUGUUAACAACUCUAUCUGGGAGCUGCACAGGCAGAAUGAAAAGCAUCUCUUUACCAACAAUACUAGUGGUUUUCUUUGGCAGACUUGAAUGAUGUUGUCCUUAUAUUUCUGCUUAAGUCUUUAUAGUUUAAUAUGCAGACGGGGAAGUCAACGCUCUGUGUCCUUCGGUGUUUUGACACUGCGUUGGAGUAUCAGGGGACAGACUGAAAGACAGGCAGGUAGACUGACUAAUAAGGAGAGAUGGCAAGCAGUGGAGCCAGCCCAAAACUAUUUGAGAGUAUGAAGAUAAUACAGUACAGGCGGGUAAGAAAUACAGGCAGGCAGAUGGGAGCAUAAAGACAGGUAAAGAAUGAAACAUCUUGACAAGACAGCAGAUAUGCAGAGAGACGUAGAAAAUGGCAACCAGGCAGGCAAGCAAGAAGUCAUGCAGCGAUACAGGCAAACAGCAGAGAUAGAAAGACAGAAAUGGAGGCAAGCAGGCCAUGGAGGACUGGGAUCCAGGCCUGGGUGUGGUGUGGUGGACUGUCAUGGCUCGAUAGCGGGGUGGUGUGGAGCUCUCGAUGUUGGUGAAUGAGUCAUCGGAGGGAGGCUAUUCUGUUGAGUUUCCCUGUGGGACGGCCGCCGCUGAAGGAAGGAAGAAUCCUCUUCACAUCGAGGGAAAGAGAGAGAGAGACAGACAAGGGGAGAGGGAGCGAGGGAAAGUGUGGACGAUGACUCAGGGCCACGAACCACAUGGUGAUGGAGAGGGGAGGGAGGAAUUACUCAUCAGAGCAUGUGGAAUCUCAUACGGCUAUCACAGGACUGACAGUGUGCUUCCCUCAUGGCUGCUGCUCAGCCGCCAUCAGCCCCCGAGGCACCAAGUUGAACACCAGUCAGCUUCGCUUGUUUACCAGCCGAGAACAGAGCAAAGGUGGGGGACUGGGGUGAGCUGGGGGUCAGACUUACAAGGGCUUUGCUAAACUCUAAACUCAAAGCCGGGUUUCCUCCCGUCUGGGCAACUUGGGGUGUUGUGAGGCACAAAUGAUGAUAAAUUCAUUCUUUACCAAAGCUGAACCCACUCCAGUUGUGUUGAGUCACACAAAUUUUCCCCAAAUGUCUCCGCUGUGUUUGUGUGGCUGACGGAUGUAUGUUGGAAAUACUGCAUCAUUAUCUGACGAAGCCAUUUGAAUUUCAGCUGGGGCUAUAAUGAGCCUCCUGAUAAGCAGGGUUUAUACUCUAACUGCCGCUCUGUCUGUAGGAGAAUACGUCCCACACGGAACUUGCAUUUGACUUGACAAGGUAGAGCAGCUACAGUAGUUUCCUGAAACCACCUGAGUGUGGGAGGCCAGACUGGCUCAGGUCCUGGUUUACAUCAAGAAUGAUAAGUAUUACUGAGGGCAAAUACUGAGGCAUUUUGAAAUGGGAGUUUAACCUCAGCCGCUGUCUACAGCAAGUUGGUGCACGCCUCUUUGCUCCUGCUCCAAAUUAGGCAAGACUGUCAAAAUAUUUAAUUAAAGGAACUUCUCAAAAAGGAGAAGAACUGAAAAUGGCUUUAUGAAUAUGUAUCUGCAGUACACAGCGAACAGAGGGUGACAUUUUAAGUCCAGUGGCCUCUUUUCUUCUUUGUAGCUCGGCUUACAAAGCGUCUCUUUCACGGCUGUGUAAAUCCAUCUUUACAGUGAUUAAUGUGAAACUACAGUGAGCCUGCACAUGACAAAGUUGUACUGAGUGAUGACAAGACAGAGAAUAAAUGUAGGUGAAAGGGCUAGCAGCAUGACAUGCAUCAUGGCUUGUCUUCACGUGUGCUUGAGAUUUAGCAGAUUCGGAGUCUGCAGAAGUCUUUGGAUAUGAACGCUGGUGAAUUAACAUGAUGGAGGGGGAAGGAGUCAGCAGAAAGUAAGUGUGACUGAGGACAAAUGCACUCACAUCUAUUUUAUAUGUGUGACCUCCACACCUGUCACACCCAAAUGCUUGGUGUGCAAUAAUUUCUCGCUAUUAAUAUUGACAUAUGCAGCCAAAAAGGUGAUGAGUUUACCACAGUGGCAUGAUUCAACAGGUGAAAUAGGCACGCCCAUAACACUAGCUGACGCACCUCCGCUUAGCAGCAGCGGCGGCAUGGACCUAGAUCUUUCUCCAACAGAGGCUGCCAUUAGGGCGUGGGCUGACAGCACUCCAGCACCAGUAGAACCACUCAAAUCAUGAGCAAACACUGCAAACAAAAAUGAGAGGGCAAGAAAAAGUGGAGCAGACCUUCCCUGAGUCGAUCCCUCCGGCACCAAUCUUUAAAAAUGAGAAUGAAGCCUCCUGACCAGUUUUUUAGGCCAAGCAGUCUAAUCACAUCUGUUAGGCUUGUUUCCCACUCAAGACCUUCAUUGAUUUGCCCGUAAAAUGUCAGAAAAUAUUGAAAAAAGGCCAUUAAAAUUUCACAUGGCCCAAUGCUUCUUUAAAUGUCUUGUUGUGUUCUGAGCAGCUGAUCUUUUAUGUACAUCUACUUAUCAAUUUAACUGUCUUAUCAGUGCGGUGCUGUCUUAUCAGUCAGUCACUAUUUAAAAGAGACUGCGACACAUAAAUAUUUAUGUAGAAAUUAGUUAUUGAUGAUUUACACUCACAAUGUGAUAGAUGUAACUGACAGAACUUGCAAAAAGGGGGAUAGUGGGAGGAUUUUAAAUUACAGUCCUGUAAAAUAAUCUAAAAUUACAUGUUGUGCCACCAACUUCAGAGGAAAUGACAAGUAACUUGAGCUAGAUUUACUUAAUCAGAUAUAUCCUAUUAAUUCUUAACUGUAUGAACACUGCUAACUCUGAGACACACGUAUCUUUGCAUGAUUGGAUAAAGAAAUAACACAAACUACAAAGAUCAACAAAAACUGGAAGUAACAUUUAAUAUACAGAGAAACAUGUUUUAGUGGUUAUGCAGAUGAUAUCUUGCAGCAAAUUUACACAUUAUCACCACCCCUAAGACAUUAAUGAAGUGUACAUGGUGGAAGCAAAUCAGGAGUUGGAACUCAGGGAGGACUUCACACACAAACGUACUAAUGGAUUUAUGAAUAGACGGUGUGACUCAGUCCCAACUCUUUUGAAAACGAUUUGAUGAGAGCGAGCCACUUAUGAAUUCCAGCAUCAAUAAAUAAACUCUUAAAGAAACUAAUUCCAGUUGCCCAUUCUGAAAAAAUCUGGAAACAGCAUGCUGGAGCAAUAAACAAAGAAAAUAACAAGGCUGUGCUGCAUACUGCAGGCAUAUCAGGCUGUAGGUGGACUGAAAGGUCAAAAUAAACACUACACACGACUCCCCGGCUUCAGCUAUAGAAGGAGGAGGAGGCCUGUCGCGCACACACAAUGAAAUCUUUAGGCGCACUGGGCGUAUACACAGAUGUGACACACACACACACACACACAUAUAUAUAUAUAUAUAUACCUCUCAACCUAUUAUUUACACUGUUUGCUUUUCUAUGGUAUGUCAAAGUGCUUGCAGGUACUCAGCACUCGGUUGCUUUUUGUUCAAUGGGCAGCAGAGCCUCAUUUUCCACUGUUUGCCUUUGUGAUUAUGUUUGAAUAUACAUAAGCGGAGUGCCGUUGCGCACAGUGUUGAUGUUUGUAUUGUGAGAAACUAUUUGCUAUAGUAUGAGGAAGGCAGCCAGCCCUCAUAGCUGAAAUGUGCUCCACUGCAUGAACUGAGCUCAAGUUCAGCCUAAAUAUUUUGAGAAGUCAUUCCUGCUAUCCUGUCCUCACUUGGUCUCACCCAACACCAACGGGGGCACCUCGGUUUCCAGUUGUUUUCUGGUUAUUUGGGGCCAACGAUGCAUGUUGGCAGACCUCAUCGGCACUUUCUCUUUGCAUUGCAAAAUCUGUUGCGAGGCUGAACUCGGCUCAGCAUUUGUGCGGCCCGGUGUUGAGUAACAAUGAGCUCCGCAGGGCGAUUGGCAGAUGUCUGUUUGGUGUUGCAGAUACAGUCAUGCCAUUCUGUGGAGUCAGCAAGUAAAGUGUGUGUUCAUGUGUAGAAGGGGUGAGGAAAAGCACGUUUGUUUUGGCAGAAUGACCCAUUUGCCAAAGAAGUGGUUCCACAGCCAAAACUCGCCAAACACACCCACGGCGCUGAGUGUUUUAUCAGUCCAACCUCUUCAGUAGUCAAAAUGGAAAGGUGGCAGUUUUACUCCCUGUGCUAACCUCUUCACAGCUUUUUUUUGUGAGCUGAGAGGGCUAACGGUGAGCUGCAGCAGGCCUUUUUCAGUCGGCUAAAAUCAAAGCAACAGUGGAGGCAAGCUACUGUUUCCUCAAGCUCCUCUGUAACAUUUGUUAACAAGAGAAUAUUGUAAACAUUUUCAGCUAAUCAGAGGCAUGACAGAGUCUCAUGGUAGCUCUGAUCUUUUCUUCUACUUGCUGUGGCUCACUUGAAGUCCCAUUGUAUGGCCUGAGCCAAGAUCCUCCAGUCCAGAGGGGCCCUGUGCCAAGCCUGGCUCUACGGAUAUUAGAAAAAGGGAAAACCCAUCUUCCCCCUAAACCUUCUUCCAUUACAGAAAAGAGGUUUUCCGCUUCUAUCGAAACUGUCAAUGGAAGUUAUUCAAGCCACUUGGAAAACAUCAAUUGCUGCUUUUUCGGUCUUUAUGUUGGCAAAAUCAUCUGUCAUGGGGACAGCAUGAUCCUUCCAUACAAGGUUUUCAGAAGAAAGGGAGAUAUUGUGUGUGUGAGCGUGUGCGUGUGUUUUUAUGGCCUUUAUACACUGUGUUGUAUGCAAGGAUUGUUGAUCUGCUGAGCACAUGUGCAGCUGACAGGUCUGUGAAAUAUCAGCAUCUGCCUUGUUUCUCUCACUGCAACCUUUGCAAAUGAUGUGGACAUGAAUACACUGCCAGUGUAUGUGUGUCUUAUAAAGUGUUAAAUGAAGAGCUGUUUCAUGUUGGCACCAGAGCAGCGAGAGCCACAAUGUGACAGGCAGGCCCGAGGCGACCCAGAAAUGUGCCUUCUUGGAACUUCCUUCUCAUUCCUCGGGCACAAAAAUAACAGUGGCGCAGUGGCCGCCUGACUCCAAAACCAACAGUUUUGGAAAUAUCUGUUACAUUUGCAUCCCAAAUAUUCAGUUGUGCUUUCAUGUCACUCUUUUUUGGGGGGUUGACAGUGUUUUAUUUUUCUUCCUUUAUGCCUCUUGAGUUUUCUUGUCAUACUUGGCUGUUUUUGUGUUGACUCAUCUCCUCGGCACACAGGGUGGGUUAUUUUAGGCUGUGUGGAUGUGUGACUGCAAACAAUAUGUACAACUUACAAUAUGACUACAUGCGGCAACGGUGUAAAAACGUAGUUCUUUUUAUACCACAAUGAUUGUGACAAAUUCCGUCGGUCGUGUCAUGUCACCACUUUUGAUGUCAACUACUUCCCUAUAAGUGUUUUCCUGAUAGCAGUUGUUCAUUCUUAAAAAAAACAGCUUGGCACUUAGGGAAAAACUUUAAUUGCAUCCUUGCUGAGAGUCAAUAACACUCUCAUUCCUGUACGGUGAAUACUAAGCUACCACAUGCAGCCUGUUAACUUAUUUUAGCAUAAAGAAAUGGGAAUGCAGUUUGGCUGGCUCUGUCCAAAGUUAACUAAAUUCACCUCUAAAGCGCACUGAUUAACACACUAUAUCAUGUUUGUUUAAUUACUAGAACCACAGAAGUGUUAAAAUGGCAAUUUGUGGUUUCACUGGGCUGAUGUGUUAUUUCUUGGCUGGGUCUCCAGACAACCAGCACACAGCCAAGAUACGGUCCAACACGCAACCUCUUUGAAAACAAGGUUUUCUUUAUGUGCACUUUUUUUUGGACAGAUUAAAUGAUCAAGAUUUAAUGAGUUAAUUACUGAGCUUUAAGGAUGCUGGUAGGCAGGUUUUGUUACUUCUGGACAAAGUCACACUGUUUCCAGGCUUUAUGCUAAGUUAACCAUUAGGGUGUGGGCAGACAGGGUUCCAGCACCAGAACAACCACUCAAAUCUAGAGCAAACACAGCAGACAAAAGCGAGAGGGCAAGAAAAACUGGAACAGACGUUUCUUGUGCAGAUCCCUCCAGCACCCCUCUUUAAAAAUGAGAAUGAACCCUCCUGACCUGCUUUUAGCCAAUCAGCCAGUGACACCGGGCUCUGGUAUGGCUAGAGUAAAUAGAGAGGAGAGUAAUCAGCUCUCACAUAUCUGUGAUGAUAAUAUCACCCUCUUAGUUAUACUUAACUUAGUAAUAAUUAUUGAGAUGCUGUUGUUGCUGUCCACUGCCUUCUUCUGGAGUUACUUGCAACAGCUCUUCCUAAGUUUGCUUUUAACAUACAAUAUGUGCUUAUUAUGUGGAGAUUUAAGCAGUAUUAGGGAUGCAACUAACACUUUUAACGCUGUAAGACCCAAACGUAGAAAAAAAAUUGCAAAAAUAAUAUAGAAAUAAUCAAAAAAAUAUAUAUGUAACAUACAUAUAUAAAUCUGUAAAACCCAAAUGUAGAAAAAAAUUGGCAAACUUAUUGUAUAUGCAUAUAUAAAUAAUACAAAAAUAAUUGAAAAAUAAAACUGAUGUCGCUUUUUUUUGGUAACAGUGAGUCUGACAGGGUUAAACAUUAUCUAUUGUUUUGUUUUUCUCAAUUAACAAUUUAGCCAUUCACACCUCAGAACAUUGUGAUAAUAUAAUGUCCCCAAGGUGAGUUCUUUAAAUGCUUUCUCUGACCAACAGUGUCAAACCCAAUGAUAUCCAAUUUACUAUCAUCUAAGGUCAGUUCUUGUUUUCUGCAUCCUCUUGUGCUGGCUGAUGAUGGACUUUGAAAGCAGACAGCGGAUGCAUUUCUAUUCAUACUACAAUAGGUACGAGUGCUACACAGACAGUUACAUCGCCCCUCAUAUCGAACACAGAAAAACAUACAGGGCUCUGGGUUUCUGCAAGGCUGGCUGUGACUUUGCACUUUUUGCAGGAUAUAGCAGCUGGUUACAGAUUGGGCUGGAGCACUGUGUCAUCGUGAUUAUUCCUGAGGUGUGCUGAGCACAGUGGGCGGACACAGUACAGGGUUUCUGCAUAGUUUUCACUGUGUUUGGGCACCGUCGAUAGAAAGCACAUAGCUACAAAUCAAAGCAUUCUCCAGUCCAGCAUUCACUACUGCAAUUCAAACUUUUCUUAAACAAUGAAUGACAAAAGUGUGGAUGAUUCUACAAAGCAAGCAUUUGUUUGAACACAGUUUGCUUUCCUGGCACAUGUGCAGUCAACGCCUUCCCAAAUUUUGGGCUGCACACGGACAUCUGCAGAGGGGCCCACACAAAUCUUCACAAACUUUGGUAGAUGAUAAAAUUCAUGACGUGUACCCUGGCAGAAAAACGGAUGCAGAAAGCAUGAAAUAGCUUUAAGGCAAUACAAGGAAAAGCAUCAAAACCAUCCUGGCAUUCAAGAAGCUGGAACCAGGAACAUGUUUCACAAUUCUGCUUAGAAAACGUCUUUAAAGAUCAUUUCAUUAUCUAAAAAGCUGCUGAUUAACGUUCUGUCAUUCGAUCAAUCAGCAAAUCACUGCAGAUCUGCAUUAAAUCAAAAUCGGUUGCAUCACUGCAGUUGGCUCCAGCGGGAGUGAUAUCAAUCAUUUCAUCUAACUCUUAGCAAGAGCGCAACUAAAUGUAUUUCCAAAAAUCUAGUUAUUUCUUUGAGAGCUCAGCGCUCUCAAAACAAACUAAGUAAUUCAAACAUAUCCAAAGGCAAAAAUGUUAAUGCCUGUUCUCAGUGGCCCCACUCAAAGGCGUGAUGAAAAGUCUACUGGCACGACUGACAAAUGUGGACAACUGCAGGCAUUUUUGAUCAGUCAUUGCACUAAACACACACACAGACAAUAAAACACACUCAAACAUAAAGCAUUUAAAAGGAGAGCUGAGAGAUUAGUUGAGCCCCACUAAUUCCCAGUUUCCAAAAACUGGAAAGGUGCUUCUGUAUGUGUAGCUCCACUUAAAGCUACCAGUUAAGGGAAAUUAAGCGAAACCACAGCACUGUUAGUCUGCUCAGAUUCUGAAAUAUUAAUACAGUAUUGAAUACACACCUGCAUCAGAGUCUGAUCUCAGUCAGUUUACUCAUGUCUGGUGACAUAUCAAACUCAAGCACCUAAUUGUCAAAUUGCCUUGGGCCGUAUUAAGCAAGAGGGGGAUAAAGAUGUCUCAAAGCAGCAUCAGCUGAGGAGAUAUGGAGACUAAAAUAAAUGCAGCAGUCUUCAUCCUGCCAGCAGAGCCUUAGCAACAGUUCCAGUUGUUUCAUAAAUCAACUUGUUAAAAGGCACAUGUACAUAGCAGAAUAAACACUCUCCUUUCCUCACGGCUGUAUGGGAGGAUGGGGGUGGGGACGCUCAGGAGGUGAUGGAGUUUGGAGGAUAAACUUGGCUAAACUUCGUCAGAACACUGAAUUCCCCUCAUCCGUCCCCAUCCUGCUAUCCUCCCCUCUCCACCUAUCCAUUUUUAACUUGCUCACAAAACAGUGUGAAAAGCUAAUAUGGUUUGCAUUUAAAAAGCUAUUGCAGAACCAGAGCAACUUUCUUUCAUUAUUUAAAAUGUCAAAAGCUUGAAUAAGCACCCUUUUACACAAUGAGCAGUCCCUCCAGGAAUAAUUAACACAAAUUCAACCAUUCCUCACUUUAUCUAUGUGAGCUUGCGGUUUUGUCACAGUAGUGCCUGCAGAUUUGACUAGUGACUGCUUUUUCUUAAACAAAAUAAUCCAAUUUAGAGUUCCCACUGUAAGUACAGCUCAAAUAAAGUCAAACAUCAGACUUCAACUGAACUGUAGAUGUCUUAAUCAGCUAGGUAUUUGCAGUCUUCUGAAGGUGGCCACCUUUGCUGUGUAUCAAUUUCAACAAGUGAAUGCUAAACAAACCAUUUGUGACCUCAAACCGUUCGACUUAUAGAGCUUGCGGAGAGUUGCAUUUUGCAAGACGUACUUCCAUAGUUAUAUUUAAAGCUUGGAUCUAACUGUAAUAAUUCCACUUUAAAUCUGGAUGCAGCUUGCAUUACAUAGUUUAAUUUUCUAAGGUAAUACAAUGCCAGAAACAGACCACACAAUCUUUUUACUAACACAUAAUCUCUGUAUAAGAUUUAGUGAUUGGAGAUUCUGCAUUGGACCAUGAAAAAUGAUUGCUUGUUAUGUUUCACAUCAUGAUUGACAUGCUCAGAUGAUCAGAAAACAGUUGUUACUUUAGUGCUCCACCUGACAGAACCAACAGCAUCAUGCCUCUAUCAGAUUGCAAUGUUUAAAGCUGUGUGUAGAAUAGCAUCGUGCUCCAAUGGUUCACAGUGUAAUAUCAAACUACUGGAAGCAAUGCAGAAAAAAUUGGGCACGCUAGUCUUUUUGUCAGUAUGCUGUCAGGCAUCCAAGAUGCUGCAAUGGCUGUCUUGCAGUAUGACACACUACAUGGGAUAAGACAAGUAAUAAUCAUGUCCAAGUCAUAAAACGCAUCAAUGUGUUUUGGCAUCAGAAGUGAUCUGAGCAAGAUCUUGGUGGGACUGAAUAAAAGGCACGCGGUGAAAUGAAUCGACAAUUUGUGGAUUUACUUCAAAUGUGAUGAAACUAAUUUUUUCAUUAUGUUGUUUUCAGCUGCUGCAUGUUGUUUUGCUGUGAGCCUGACUGUGUCCAACUUGUGGCUGUCAGCAGUUUUGGCAUAUGGACAGAUUUGCCAUGAAGCUUUGGGGCACAUUUUUGUUCGCAAAAUAGGAGCAUUUAAAGAGUAGAGCGCUCAUUUCCAGUGUUAACGCUGUUUCUCAAAGCUGGAGCUAUGAUCUCACAUCUAGAUGUCAGAAUACAUAAUAGACUGCUGCACAGAAGAUCUUUGGCUCGAUGCUGUAUAGUAAUACUCAAUCCAACAGAGACAGGCUUGGGAUUCCAGCAGUGUCCUGGAACGGCUUUUCAGAAACAGUGAUUUAGUUAAUUUUGACAGGUAGCGCACAAUGCUCCAAAAAUUAUGAACCAAAAUAGCAGCUCAUUAAACUUUUGGAAAUGCGGCCUCUUUAUGGCAGUUUUUCCGGUUCAGCCUCACGUUGUAGGCAAGUAGGUAGGCAAACAUCAAAUCUGUGUGUCGGCAGCAAAUCUAGAAGAUGACAAUAUUUUAUUCUGACUAUGUUACAUUACAAAGACGUAUUUGGGGAGGCCUUGGCAAGGAAAUGUGCCACUGCUGCAUGUAGUGUCACUUAGGGAGUCAUUUAAACCUCAACCUGAUCUACUGUUAGUCAAACCCACAGGGGGCUGCAUAAAAAAAAACCCUGACUGGCCUCAACUGAAAUUUACCCUCCUCAGCUGGUUACCAAGUUAACUGUUGUGCUCUUUGUGCGAUGGAGCUCAGAGGGACGUGUUGUGUUUUAGUCAUAAGGAUAAUUAACUGGUCACAGUCGAGUUUUCCAGGAAAUUGACUGUAUUAGCGACACUCGUCUCUAUUCUCACCUCCUUCCUUUUAUUUUUUUUCCCACUUGGCAGCUGUCACACAGAGAGCUUUGAAGUGGGCGUAAAUAAGGAGACAUGCAUGCUUAAUGAGCAAGAGUAAAAACGGCUUAAUUCUUGAUUUAGCAGCGCUACUCUGCCUACUGAACUGAAUGUCGAGGCAGUGCGGUUGCCUAAUUAAGUUGCCUGUUAACAAAAAGAGGCCAACAGCGACAUUUGCUGUUGUGUCAGCCAGAUCAUAUCUGUUCAGCUGCAAUUAUUCUGUGAAAAAGUCCAAAACAUCUGCAAUCAAACACUGAUUUCACCUUCUGAACUCACUUGUCAAACAGAUGAACAGCUGACGGCGACUUGCCAAAAGGAUAUAAUGAGUCCAUAUUAUAUACUGACAAUCACUUCUAGUCCGUGCUAUGUUCAGUGCCAGGAAGUGAAAGGGAGAAAAAAAAAACAAGAAGUAAGGAAUGGUCUUUUGCUUUCAGAUUUACAGCCGUGGGGUCACCAGUGGAAGUGGAGCUGGAGCAGAGUGGUGCAGAACUCUUCUCCUCCCUCCUGGCCUCCUUCCCUGCUCCUACCCCAUUAUUUAUUUUUUUUUUAAAGUUUUGCUCUCUCUUACUGUAUAUGGGUCACACUGUGAUUGUGUGUACAUACAGGUGAAUAUGUUCUCUUUUCCACUGAGCAUAUGGAAAGAAGGACUCAAACAGUUACUCCUAAGUUAACGUAACACAGUGGAACAAUGCCGCAUUUACAGUAAAGGUCACGUCUUUAAACUUCUAGUUGCGCAGUCAUGCACAGAAUAUAUGUUUCUGUUUCAAAAGCGGACUCAUUAUGAACUUCUCAUCACCCCUACAGGAUUUGAAACAAAUUACUCAUGAUCCGUAAUGAUGAUUUUCUAAUGCCGUAACAGUGUGUGGGUGAUCUGACCUUUACACGACUGAUGAGAUAGUCUUUAGUUUUGUAUGUAAAACUCUUUUUUUCUGUGAAGAUUUACAUAAUUUUUAGACAUCCCAAAUCUAAUGUUAUAAUUUACAAUAAAUAAUCUAUUCAGGAGACUUUAAGGAAUUAACCCAUGUACAGUGUGCACUCAAUGUAAAGAAAAAGUACAAUUCAUAAUAUUGUAAUUUUCUAAAAGCUCCUAAAAUUAAUCAUAAAGAACUCGACUAUGUCUACUUCGGCACAACACACCGAAUCACAAUAGCAGGUAUUAUUUCUAAUGUGAUAAUAGCACAGACAACAAUAUUAUUUAUUUACUUAUUAUUUAAAAGCGAUUUCUUAGACAAUCUGUAACUAAACUGAAUCCCUGAGCUUGUCUAUGAGUAAGUGUGUGUGUGCCUACUCGUUUACCUGUGUUGCACAUGAGAAGUCAUCACAAUCUCAGCCCAGGCAGGAAGGCAGGAUGUUUUUGAUGAAGCAGUGGGCUUAAUUUAGGACCAGGCAUUCUCAGUAUCUGUCACCUAACUCCCAGCGAUCUCAACACACAGUGCAGGAGGUGUUUGUGUGUAUGUGUUAGCUCAUGUUUAUCCAGGGAGGCGGGUUACAAAUUCAAGAAAUGUACACCAACAUUUGGCUCUCUAAAAAGACUUGAAUAACUCCCAAAUGUAAAAAAAAAUGCCCAUCCAUCUUUUAACUAGUGAAAUAGUAAUAAUAAUAGCUGCAGCUGUACAACAGACUUUCGUGAUAGUGUCUCUUUGAUAUGAUUUUAUUGUGAAGUAUUAAUACUCGCUAUUAAAAAAUAAUCCCAUUAAACCUGCCAAACGCCCAGAAUCUUGAUUUCUUUUUCUCAAGGAACUGGCUUGGUUGUAGCUCCUGCUUGGCUAUAAAAUAACCAAACAGGCAUAGGCAUUGCCAGCAAACCAGCAAAAGCAAAGAGCGAAUGCCAACAACCUCUGCCAAAGACUUGAGCUUGCACCCAGUGUUCUUCUCUUAUUGGUACAUAGAGGAAUUUUCUGCCUACUUCUUUGAAUUACUAAAUUUUUCUGCCUGUACGGACAUUGUUUUUAUUCAUAAUACUUCAGAAUGAGCACGCUUUGUUGUAAAGCAGCUCCAUAUUGUAUGAAGUAAUUACACGCGCCUUCAUUUUCUUGAUCUCACCGCGCUCUUGUGUGAUGAGCACACAGAUAUGGUGAUAGGAGCAAUGUGGCUUUUUGAAAACCCCGUGAGACAAUCAUGGUGACGACCCCGAGCUUGUUGUCAUUUCAGUGCUGCAUUAAAUGAACGCGCUCCGACUCGUCAAACGACGACACGGAGCGCUGAGACGAGAGCCGUGUGGUCGUCACGCAUCCAUAACGAAUGGAAAGAAAGGAAGACCACACAGCAGCAUGGUCAGAUCAGGUUGUCAGAGACCAUAUUUAAAAUCUGGGUCAGAGUCCAGGCCAUAACCUCGCUCUCACUAUUGCUGCACACUCCCUCCUCUGCACCCCAGCUCACCUUCAUCUCGUCCCACUACCCUGUCUUUGCCUUCUCUCCCUCUCGCUUUACACCCUUAUCUCCUCACCCACUUUUCACAUUCGCAUCUUUAUUUAUUUCAUUCACCCCCUCAGCCUUCUUUCUUGUCUUCCUUUCUCUUCGUGUGCUGCCUGAGCCAUGCACAGAGGCAGCAGCUUUGCCAUCUGCCUGUGUUGCGUUUCACAGGCAGCAUCGUAGAUUUGAGAUCAAAUUAGUGUCACUGCAAAGGAAAAUGAACAUUGGAUUUUAAAAUGUAGUGAUCUAAACAUACCAAUUUAAAAUGAAUGAAUAGCUGAGAAUAAAAGAAUGGAGGAUUUUUAACUGUUGCUCCUAUCCAAUGAGAAAUUAAGGAAAUUCAAGCCAUAUGAUUUAUGUGCAGGUUGAAGAGCAGAUAGAAGUCUGAGAGUGUUACAAUAGCCCCAUUCAGCUUUACUUUAUAAUAAGUAGAGCUGACAACAAAAUGUGCCCUGCUUGACUUACAGAGGACUUAAAAUGGAUAAAAUAGAAAAUUCUGAAUGGCAUCCUGGGCAAUAUUUCAAAGAUGUGCUCCAAUGUCAAACUUAUUUUGUCCAAAAAGCUUAGAAGGUUUUAACGUCAGAUUGCUGAUUUUGCACGUGUAGGUUAGCUUUACCCACAGACGCUGUACGUUAUUAGCUAGGAAGUCAGUGCAUACAGGAAUCAUGCAGGUUUGUUCUGGUUCUUGUAACUCUGAGAGAGUACGCUUGCAAUGCACACAGACUGUUGAGAUGCUACAUACAGCCAGUGGGCACAGCUAGUGUUAUUCAGGAGCAUUUCCAUGCAUAGGUUUGACUGCUUGUUAAAAGAAAAACAACAAAAAAAAAACAAUGCCUUGUAUUCUUUUUCAUAUGUACAUGUAUAAAACAUGCAGGAUAUCAUUUAUUAGUAGAAGCCUCUUUAAGACAUCUUUUACAGAGCUGGGCCAGUUAACGUCCAACGUUGUGCUAAAAAAAUAACCUUAUCAUGUCAAUCCUAUGAAUAGAAAUGAUAUUUCAUCUAACUCCUAGUCAAUCAUUAUUAUUUCUUUAAAAAGUCUGAAUGUGUUUUCAGAAAAUCUAAUGCAUUGCUGCUUGGAAAACUGAGAAAAAGAGCCAGAGACAGAGUUUGAUUUAAGAUGAAGGAGGUGCUACACUGCUAUUCUCUGAAGCAGACCUGGCAGUCCUGCAGCAGCCGUAACAGUGCCUUUGCUGCUAUUCAUCACAGGGAAAAUGGCAAACACUGUACAAAUCAACUGGCAUAAAUGUUCGUGCUUCUUUUCAGCUCAGUGGCUCUGAACCUAUUGUGGGGCUAACAUGGCUGCCAACAAUAAGACAUGAUGACAUUGUCCUGCUCUCUUGCUGGAGGCCUCCCAGUAAGGAGUUCUUGUGAAUGCCUCUUCAGUGUGACAUGGAGACGGGCCCGCAACCACCAGCGGAGCCUGAGCUGAGCUGCUGAGCUGCUGAGCUGCUGAGCUGCUUUAGAGCCCUGCUGAGACCUGCCAGGCCCACAGCUUUCCCUGCCAGGGGCCUCGGCUCGCAGUCAGAGUGAGUUACAACCCAUGCUCCUGACACACACAUGCUAAUACAGAAAUACGCAUCCAGUAUGUAGGCAUGCAGGCGCACGCACAGGUGGAACACAUAGUGGAGUAUAUGUGUAUAACCUUAAACCAACAUGCAGAGGAAAAAAAGCUGUACGUGAGCGGGCAGUGUGCAAAUACACUCAUACAUAAUGAUACCCUUCUAUUGGACCACUUGAUAGCGAGCUGUAUACACAGCUACUUAUGUCCCCAGCCUUUUUAUUCUUGAGCUGGAACUGCAGUGACCUCCUAAAUACACACAUACCCCCACACUCCAAGAUAUGGCUAUAUGCAAACAAAAUAAAUGCAUUCCACACUUGCACACAUGAAGUAAAGUGAGCAUGUCCUCUAACAGGAGCUCGAUCUGUCAGGGGCAGUUUGAGAUCAAGUCCUGCAGCUGUUGGAUCAGCUGGAUUGAUCUGUCUGGGUAAACAUGAAGAGUGGAAAUGAGCAUGUUUGUGAUUAAGGGCUUAACAGAAAGUGUGUCUGUGUGUGAGAGAGAGGGAGGAGGUUCAGUGUGUGACUGUUUAUAUCCUGCACCGAAGAGACAUAUAGGUAUAUCAGUACAGUAUGUUCUUCCAACUUAAUCUUUUUUAUAAGGGCUCACAGGAUCAUUAUAUCCAAAUAUGAAGACAUGAAGUAUAUAGCCUGAGUUUGCUGAAGAGAAUUAGUCCAACAUGGUCUUGGUUCAGUGCCAGUGUUACACAUUCUUCACUGAAAAAAACAUUCUGCUAUAUGUAAUCCAAUGAUUUGUAUAUUCUUAAUGAUGAAAAGUCUCAAGGUGAAAUGUCUUUAAUGAUUUAUUGCAUGUGUGUAAGGUGAUUUCCAUGUUUAUAUUGUACUAGUUAGAUGUUUACAUGGCUUCCUAUGAGUUCCUAUGAUCCCAUGAUGUCACGCCCUUACAAAUUCAUUUUGUAUAAAAAAAGAUGCAUUAGUGAUAGGACAUCAAGGGCUGUUCUUUUUGAGCUCACAUGAAAUAUGACAUCAAAGGUUUCUGUGGCUUCAUUCAUGCAACGAGCUUUAAAGACAGAAACCAUGUUUACUAGGGAUUCUAUAUACUGUUGAGGAAAUCCCCAAGAAUGCAACUAAAACCACUGAAUGGACCUUGGUACAAUUUAACAAGACCCACAGCUUUCAAUGUGACCAUUUUUCAACCAAUAAAGCCCUUUUCAGACAUGGGGUAUGUAACAUCAACCUGUUAAAGUGGUGGGAUUCUGUUAUUAGACAUAGGUCACUUUCACAGUGACAGAGGAAGCCAUGGUCCAUGCAAGACACUUGACAUAUGUGCAAGAUUGGACAACACCUCAUCGACGUAUAAUGCUGAAUCAGGUUAUGUCACCCACUAUACAUAAUAACAUCCUUCAUCAGCACGUUAUAAUCCUGCACAUGCCCAUCUGUUAAUGCAAGUGUGCAGACUUGUGACAUGUUGAAAGUGAUACCUAAAUGUUACUAGGUCCAAGCUAGUAAGAUAGCCAUCACCACUUUUACGUAAAAGUGCACAGGGAGCUCAUUCAGACAUUAAGCCAGCAAAUUCAGAUCCUAAUAGAUUAACUGAAAGAAAUGCGUGUCCAAAUGGGGCUUUAAUUAUUUCAAAUUCUGCAAGGAGCUACUGUACUAUAGUUGUAUGGUUCAGUUAUAGUUCUAGAGGGAGAUGCACAAAGUCUACUAAGCUGCUUUGAGCUAGUCUGAGGAUAAAAGUUGGCAAAUGACAAAAAUCUGCAUUUAGCGUCGAGUGUAGAAGUGAGCUUAUGGGACCUCUGCAGCCUGGUAGCAUCUCAAGUCUACAUUUUCCACUACUAGCACACUACUUCUGCACUUCCAACCAAACUGCAGUGCGUCAAGUUGCACUGUAGGUAAUGUAAGCAGACAUGGAAGAGAAAUGUGGUAAAUUAGAAAGAUGUUAUCCUUGCUUCUACUGCAUUUAUACUUUUAAAAAACCCUAUAUUACUACAUUGAUAUGAAGCGGCUAAUAGUUAAGUAUGGUAUGUUUAGAGGCUCCAUCUCAAAUUGAACAUUGCAAUGAUCCACAAUAUGCAUGACGGCAAAAUUUAUACCAGCAUGUGCUGACUGAACACACCGAGUGCGCGUGUGGAUACAUCCAUAUAUCAACUGUUCACGCUGCUGUCCACAGUUUUAAAGUAUAUGAGGGCUAAAAACUGCAUGGACAGACUUUAAAAUGUUUCACACAGAGCUCUUACUUGUGUCAUUGUAAAUUAUGAGAACCUUGAAAACAAAACAUGAGGCACACAUCUGGUGAAAAGUGUGUAGAAACAACAUUCAAAGCCAGUAUGUUAUCCAGUGCUGUUUUUUGUGUGUACUGCACAAAACUGUGGGAAUUUGCUUUCAGGUUUGGUUGUCGCUACCUGAAUUAUGUCAUGUAGCUUAUUCAAUUAUAAGAUAAAGCUGUCAGUUCCUUGGGUUUAUUACGGCCAAGCUGUGUCUGAACAUAACCAUAUUUAGUACUCAUAUGAGAGCUGACAAACCUUUUUUGCUGGCUACAUGAAUGUAUCUCACAGCAGUAAUAUAUUGCAUGUGUGCAUGAGUAGCUAUAGGGUUUGUGUCUACAUUAAUCGCUGGAAUGUUGAUGUGGUCCAGAGUUUAAUAGAACGAGGCGUGGGUGUGGAGUAAGAGUCCCCUGGAGCAGAGUUAAGGUCUUAAAGUACUAAAAAGCCUUGACCCAGACCCUAUACACCCACUCACAGGGACACAGCACCUCUUCUCCAGUCCAGCACAUGCUUCAUACUCUGACUAUGCGGCAAAGAAACACAGAAUCAGACAUGCACAGACAAACAGGAAGACAAGAAAGACAAGGAAAGAAUAUGACCUUAAACAACAAACAUGCACAAAAUGUACCCGACAUUCUUUCUCCCUAACUCAAACACACACAGACACACAAACCAGAACACAUCCCUGUUGUCUUGUGUUGCCCGUCAUGCAAUGAGGAGCACAUGACUUAAAUCGGGUGUGGUGUAUGACCUCUUAUCGGACAAAAGCGUCCCACAGAGAGAGAGCUGAUGGGGGAGACUGUCUCCCUGCCAGUCCUGUCUGUUGGCAGUCAUGAGGUCUCCAUCCCUUUCGCCACGCUGUGUCUCGUGGUUCAAAGUCCAUAAAAUGUUUGAGCUAAAAAAAUCCCCUGCUUUUAAGACAUUCGGCCAUGGCGGCAUGUUGUCAAUAAAUCAGCUGCUUAGCCUGAGGAGAGCAACGUUAGCUGGAAAGAAGGAAGUGCAAAAUGUUUUUCCCAAGAAUGAGGCCUUUGAAUUUUUUUGUUGUGCCCUAUAAAUGUCUCACCUGGAGGGCCUGGUGUCUCUCAGUGAGAAUGGUUGGUUUGUAUUUCACACAUUCGACAUGACGCCUUGACGUGCUUAUGGAGUCAUGCAGAGUGAAACGCAAAUAUUUCAAUGGCAGAAGUUGUAUUAAUGGACCUCUUUUCUGUGUCUUACUGAUCAGUUCUUUAUCAGUUAACUGUCAAAAAGGUGAUGCCAUCUGUAAGCUACAGUGGUGACACAUAAGUCUUGAUCUCAUCAACCAAAGGUACACUUCAACAUAUUUCAGUUUCAGUGUCAAGACUUGCCAGCAGCAUUCAUGGUUUCCUUUCUGAAACCUCUCCGACUAUUGUGGAGCUCAGCACAAAAUGUUGCUUCGGAAAACAUGGUAUGUGGCAUGCUAGGUUUCAUAGGCCGGUAGUUAAAGCACUUGUGCAGGUGUUAAAGUGGCUAAUAAAGCAAACUAUCUUUUCCUGGUUGUGAACCAGAGGACAAGGAUGAGGAUUAUAAAGUUUAUAACUAAAUGUCUCCUCUUUAAUUAGGCUAAUAGUCGAAACAGGCUGGAAAAUGUGACUAAAAUGACAGAACUCUGUGAGGAUGUACUGAAUGUGUGUUUGUGUGUCUGUUCCAUCACGAGGCAGUGCCAUUGAGAGGCAAUGCCCCGAGGCAGCUGGCCACAGUCUACCGAGGGUACUUUAAAUUGAACUAAUGUUCACUAAUGCAGUGUUACAGGGUUCAUCCACUGUUGACAUAUGAAAAGGACAAAUUGUCUGGUGCAGUGCUGAUGACUGCAUGAAAAUCAAGUGAAGAAGCUGUGAAUCGCCGCCCUAUAUGUGACCAUGGGUAAUUCCAGAGUGAAUUGAAGAAGCAAAAGAUGAACUGAGGGAGAUGAAGGCAGAUAUAAAAGACAGAUAGCUGCAACGAUGACGUUCUUUAAGUAAUGACUGCCCCGAGGAAGUAUUGGCUUAAUGAAUAUGUAGUGUUAAAAGAGUGAGGUAAAAUAAGGUCUGUCAGAUGUUUUAUUUGUGGAUUAUGUAUAUGAAUUAUGUGUAAUAAGUUGAAUAAAAAAUCUCUUCAGAACUAUUUUAACUGUGUUGUUGUCUGUGUGUAGAAAACUUACUGUAAACUUUCACUUGGAUAACGGAAAAUGCCUUAGAUUCCUCUUAUUAAGAUGUGCAUGGAGAUACAAACGUCUGCCUAACCUGUUUGUAGCUCUAAGCUCAUUUUGUUUUUGGUAACUUGUCUUUUGAUAAAUCUAUAAAAACAGUUGAAAACAUUUGUCAUUUCCUUUGACAGUUUAGUGCUGUAGUUUCUUUUAGUAGACAAUGCUCAACCAGGAGAAGAGAGUACAUUUAUUAGGGACUACUUUCAACUUUGGAAUAAUACACCUUUGGUGCUCCAAAAUCUUAUAUGUGGGAUGAAUUAAAAAUAAACUACAGUGCUCAUAAAGUGUUAGACACUUUUUGUGUUGAUUACAAACUAUACUCUCACAGUUUACUAAUUUAAUGGGGUGGUGUAAAUCUUUUCCUUUUCCCGAUAAAUCAAUGACAAUAAAAAUGUUUUUUGCAACCACUUUUGGAUUUAUUGUAAGUAAUCAAAUGAUGACAAGCUGUGCAGGAAGAGGUGGGACUGAGUUUUGGCUUUUUCAGCAAACAUAAAGGAAAACAUAUGGAGCAGGGCACUGAUACAAUCUUUGGCCUCAUGUAUGACUUAAAAAUGUUCGUUAUCUCGUUUAAAGUAAAAAUAAAUCAGUCAAAUGAAGGCAACAGUCAGCAGAAGCAGCUGUUGUGAUUUGGACCGUUUAAAACAUCUGAGUCGAGAAGCGAAGCUUUGUCGAGGCAAACUGGCAACAGAACAGCCAUUAUCAAACUUCAAAGACUAUAAAUGCAAAAAGCACAUCUGACGCAUCAUGUGACCAGCUCACCCAUGUGAAUUCUAUGACUUAGUUUUGGUUGUUGUGCACAGCAGCAGGCCACAGUGAGCUGGAAUGUUUGUACCUAAUGCUCCUAAUAAAUACAAAUAAUACAUCAAAGAUGAUUCACUUAUUUGCAGUGUGGUCACAUGCAGUUCUAAAUUUCCCAUUUACAGCGAAUAGUUACAAAACACUUUCAUGUUAUUCGAUAUAAAUUUGACUUUUGCUAUGGUUGAAAAUGUUCAGCAACCAAAGCAGCACACAUUCACCUGCACAUGCACAUGAACAAAAGCACAUGUGAGAUGGAACAAGGAAGUUAUUCUCUUCUUGAAAAGAGAAAGCAUGUUAUCAGGCUUCAGCUGAUAUGUAAAAGAGGAUAGUUAGGCCUACAAUCUCUAUGCAAAAUGACAGUUAAAGGAUAGAGCCUUGAACUCAGUGAGGAGAAGAAAUGUGUAAAUGAUCUAACUAAUCUUGUUCAGCUCAGCUUUUUUGAUGAUAUGACUAACACACACAAACACACACAUGAAUAAUGAAUCAGACAUUCCAUGCAUAUACAAUACACUGCAUACUUGCACAAAUGUUUGAUAAGCUAUGGUAUGGUAUGCUGCGUGUUGCUGUUUGCCACUGAGAUGCUUCCACUUCAAAAAAGGCUUGUCUGAGAAAGGAAUAACACAAAUAUUGCAACUUGAGAUGUUUUAAAAUAGGCCAUCUUUAAUUGCACCACUUUUCAGUACCUUAUCUGGUAUGUGUUGAUAUCACUUAGUCAUGUCUGAAGAAUCUGUGGUGAGUGUUUGUGUUGAGUUUUGCUCCCGAGGCACAGUUUGGCAAACCACAAAAUUCCUUCAAAUCCCCCUACCAAAUUAUUAACCGCUCAGAACAAAGUAAAUUGUAAACUGCUUGGAAAUGUCAUAUGAGGCCUCGUUUGAAUAAAAGAAAAGAGCCGAUGGACACGAGCGAGGUCUUGGCAUGCAGAAUUAUCACCAUGACUCUGCAGCAUCUGAAUAAAUGCUUCCCGUUUAUACUUCCAACUAUCAUUUGUAGCAGCAACCCUCACUCAUGUAUUAUUAAACUGCUUAUGAAGCCCCUUGCAUCGCCUGAGCUUUGGGAAACCACCUAUCUGAUGAAAUGAAAAGAAAAGCAGAGGAGGGGAAAAAAUCAUUUACCUGCCAAAUGAUCCUAUGCAUCCUAUUUUUAAAGAGAUUUGAAAGGCAGUUAAAGUGUGGGAGGCCGAUGACAUGCCCCGCCCAAAGAACUGCCCUUUCAUAAAGCCUAAGAGUCCAAUCUUGGAGCUGCAUCUCUGGGCCUACCCAUAAUUCCUAUGUGUCUGACCUAGGAGCUGGAUUAGGAGUCCCGUUCAUACAGACUGUGAUCCACACCCUGAAGCUGCGCUGGAGGAACUGCUCACAUAGUCAAGCGGGACCUGGCCAGGAUUUGCAAACAUGCAGACACGCCUUAUCUGUGCUGUCUUUCUGCCAGAUACUGAACAGAUACACAGACGUUUGCAGAUAAAACGGCAAAAGCUAAGCCAGACGAACUUGCACCGAUGAACUUUUUAAUACAGCUCCUCCUAUCUAGCAUUCAUAACACCCGCUGCUGACAGUAACUAAAUGCAAGUUACAAGACAAAAAAGUCUGCAGCAGCUUAUGUGUUUAUCAUCGGUAAAUACACACAGCUGUUAGCGUCCAGUGUAGCUAGUGAACAAUGCUGGCAGCUACACACCUCCAGCACAAGGGACACAUUAAGAGAAAUAGUAGGAGGAACUGGCCCACACUCUACAGGCCAGUCCCUUGUGUAUGUGUGUGUGAGUGUUUAAUGUAAAAUGUCCUCACCCUCGGAGUAGGAUGAGAAUCUUAUUGUAAGUCACGUGGAUUGCAACAUGUCUGCAAAGUCUUUUAAGUACAGAAAGCAAAAUUGGGGAGUGCAACAAGAUCCAUUAAAAGCAAAUUGAAUAAAUGUAACUUACAUUUAUAGAAUUUUUCUUAUGCGUCAAUCAGCAGCUUGAAAGUAGAAUGUCACUCCAUUCAAUUCUGCUUAAAGUUCAGCAGUGAACCCUCUCAGAUUUGGGCAACUUUAAAGUGACUGUAUGUAGCUUGAUAUGCUUUUAGUAUAUGUACUUUAAGUUUAUGACUUGCUGAGUAAAUGUGAAAGUGAUGGCUUAAGACAUCACACGUUUUCCUAUUUGGAUUAUUCUGGUCCCACAGAGGGAGAUGAUGUUUCAAAUGUAAACAGAGAGACGCCAUGCUCACCGCUGGCAUGUUCCAUUGCUCAACCUGUUGAUCAGGCUCUUUCCCAAAGGGCUUGAGUGCAUAUUUUACUAUUGGCUGUUUCUGUUAGAAGUGGCACCUCGCACAGGUGGUUUUUCUGAAUAUCGCCUGGAGCUGAAUUGACACACUUAAAAUUUACAUAAAAUGGGAAUCCUGUGGGUAGCAAACACGGACCAAGUUUUUGCAAAUCGGCACAUGCGCUGACAUCACCCUGAAGAGCGAGCACGGGUUCGAUCUCAAGAGAGCUUGUUUUUGUGUUUAGAAAACCAAGAUGUCGAUAAUAAUGUGGGUGAAAGGCUCAACUGACAGCAAGCAGUUUCCACAGAAUGAACUCCAGUGUCUGUCUGGGUUUUGCAAGCGUACAAUAUCUCGAGUUUCAGCAGCAAUCCCUAUGGCCUACAGCGACAUAUGACCCCGACAUAGCCACUGGUAUGGCUGGCUGUAAACACGCACACACACACACGUUUGCACACACACCCAUACACAGGAGGACCUCCCUCUUAGCAAACCCUCUUUUUUCCGACGGUCGUCGUGAGUAGCAGACGGUUUUGCCAUCCCUCUCCCAAAAUAGCCACCCGUUAGCACAGCCAGGUCAGAUGGUUUUGAAACAUCCAUGGCAAACAGCGCUGGAGUGAAGGGGCGGAGGGGGCAAAGAGUGCGUGACCACCUCUUGGAGAGCUCCAGAGAGAUGGUCAUGGGUGGGCCUCAAGUGGAGGUUUCUUUCACACUUGGGUGACAAUGAGUGCUGGGGAACUAAGGAGGGGUGUCCAAGAAAAACUGGCGAUGUGUGUGUAUGUGUGUGAAUGAGCAGUGUGGAAGUAACAGGUGGUGUUUGUGUGAUUUAUAAUAUUUUAACAUAUGUAUGCAAAGAGUCAAAGUCAUAAUGUCAUAUCUGGGUGAGCCUCUGUUCCAAAUGGCUUUGCAAACCAUUGCAAUCUCUCACUGAACAUUUUUCCCUUUGCCUUUGUGGGGGAAAAAAAAGAACCAAAAUAAUCAAAAGCAGCUUUAGCACUGGCUACGAACUGAAGCCUUUGUGAAUUUGACUAAAGGAUUUCUUUGAGAGCAUGGGGGAAAAAAAUGCAAAGGUGGCAGCGCAGGUGUUCAUCAUCUUCACUGUAACUCUGUUUCUUAUUUUUUCUAAAUUCACAAAUUACUCCCUUCUGUGGUCUCGAAACUUCCACACCAUCUAGUCCUGUCUGAGCUUCCCCACAACCUCUCGACUCUCCGUUUUUGCCAAGCGGUGACAUGGUUUAACCUGCAGCGGUCUGGGGCUCGUAGGAAAUGGUGUUCCUUCAAAUGUCUAAACAUAUGAAGCGAGCCAUACCAAAUACUGUGGAGACAGGCUCUAUUCCAAGGCUGUAUUGUGUAGUUAAACGUCAGAGGGAUUUUAAAUGGGGCUUUCUUACUUAUGAGACGGAACCCAGAAGUUUGGGUUUCACAUUGGCUCUCCGAAUAUAUUAGUAUACACGAUUGACUGUGAGCAGUAUGUAGAGGUUUCUUCCACAGUCAGAACUUUCAAUUGGACACACCUGUCAACAAAGUCUUUCUGGUGUGCAAGAACUUUGCAGUAACUCUAAGAAAUGGAUAUUAUCAGGCAAAAAAGGUGGGCUAAAUUGCUUUCAGUGCUCUUAGAAGUACUGAAGUAAACAAACACAGGCAAAUAGUGGUCUCUAAGAAAUCAUUCCUGCUGAAUUUAUUCGUUUUUUCACAGAGUAAUCAGAACCAUGACAAAAGUGAUGGCGUACAUUGACUCAAUAAAAUUUUGCUGACAGGUUUCUAGGCAGUAGUGAGCAAUCACAUGCGCCAUCUGCUUUGACUGAUGUCGUAUUGAAGUCAGUUUUCGCCAUGCAAAUGUGCACAAUGUGUGGAGGAGUUGGCUAAUAGUUAAGAUGAUCUGCAGCCAGGUACAAACCACAAUAAAGAUCCACUCUUACUCUCUUCGUCUCUUUCACAGGCAGACAUUUGGCGUAUUGAUUUAUCAGCUAAGUAGGCCGAAGCUUGACAUAGCAACUGAACAUGCAGUCUCCUAAUGACUUAACCACAUCAACUCUUUCUCUUCUGUGCCGUUCACCCUCCCUUCAUCUCUCCCUUCAGGCACCAACCGUGGCUAGAACAUGUAACCUCCCCCCCUGCCAUCUCAAUCUCCAGGCAGAACAGGAUCGCGAUGGCCCCGGUGAGACCAGAUCAAGCCAAUCCAAUUGCCGAGCGGGGAUCAAGUCACCAUGCUGGUGCUGCACCCAGAAACCACCAGGAGCCAAACCUCCCGAGGUCUUCCCACCACAUCACACAGCCUGCUGCCUGGGCACAUGAGUGUGUGAGAGGCAGAGAAAAGAAAGCAGGAUUAAAAGAUAAAAACCAUAUGAGCAAACCAAAUCUAUUUUGAAGUACUAUGACUUCCUUCCUCAAGGAAGGCCUUUUUUUGUCCCCUAUGAUCACUCACUGGCCUUUUCACAAGCCUACGCUCUGGUCAAAGGCGAUUUAUUCAUUUUAUUCCCUUAUUUUCAUAACGUUGAGGAAUAUUCAGUCAAGUAGCUGCUACUCACUAGAUGCAGCCAAAAAAAAAAAACUGUCAGCUGAGUUCUUUUAAAUUUCUGUUUUAUAUUUUUUGUGCCCUUGGCAAUAUUUGAUCCUAAAAUAAGGUAUUGAUAUGUAGGUAUGUUUCAUCUCUGUUUUCUUGAGUGUGUAUGUGUUUGUGUUAUCCUUAACGAAACUGUAUGUACAACCAAAUGAAAAUGAUGGACUCAGCACGAAAUUUGAGGUUUCAUCAAAUGUCCAUGUUAACUUUUCGUGUUGGAAAGGAAACUUUCUGUAAGUAUACUAAUCUUUAAAAAUACUUUAUUACAAGUCAAAAUUACACUAAAUAACAGAACCUCCAGAAUAUAUAUUCAGCUUCAAGUCAGAGUGUUAAUUAUGCAAAAUGGCACAUAAUAUAUUGUUGUAUUAAAGGUUCUCUGUGCAACAUUCAGGACCACUUGAUGUUGCUACAGCAAAAAGCAUCGUCGAUUACUACACCUUCCCCCUCCCUUCACAUUUCAUUUACAACUAGGAAGGUUGCAUACACAUAAAAAAAGUAAAUUACAUUAAAUCGUGACAACUUGUUCAACUUAUUUAACAUUAUCUUCACGACGGUGAGUGCAGAAGCAGAGAUCUGCAGAAAGCAGUGGAGACUCUCACAUUGAGCUAAAAUAAAACAUGCCACCAUAAAUCAGGUUAAACAUGAAUACAAGACUCUGUUUUAAAUUUUCAAAAUUUCCGUGGCACAGGCUAAAUGCUUGGACUGCACUGUCGCUUUUGCACUGCAGUGAGAGGUUACGCUCACCUUAUAAAUGCAGGGAGGACCAACAGUUUCAAAGGGAGGAACUCACAUGCACUAACAUGCAUGCCAGGCCGGAUCGGCUAGCAGAACAAAGAAACUCAGGCUACAUACAAAGAGUGUAACUUCAUUCUCUGCUAAGCAUGCCAUUACCUCAUUAUAUCUUUACAGAGCAGAUAGUUAUUUGCUGCGAUAUUAAGGUUACAUUUAUGGCUCAAAACUUGCAUACAGCACCUUUAAAGAACAUAUAUACAAUUUUUCAAGUCUGACUUGCAAAAAUUCUCAGUGAACCUUACAACAAGCUUUCCCUGCAGUAAUCAUUCCUCCUGUUCAUACUGAUCAAAACAAGACCAUUUUUUAAAAAUUCCCUGUGUGCAAUCUGUGCGAGUGAGGAGGCACAAAAUCUACAGCCAUAUCCACUUACCUUGUCAGUUUCUGCUACUGGUAAAUGUACGUGAUGAGGGAGUCAGGCAACAUUCAGUCAUAUCAUCUCGACAGCAUAACUAAACAUAUUGGUAUUUUAUGGGCAGAAGAACAUGAUAGUGUUAAAAAGAUUCCGUGAGCUACUUCUGAUUGACAACCAAAGCUUCCCCACAGCAGUACUUACUUAAAAAUAGGUGAUAUCAUUUACUCUUUGAUGUGUUGCUUUGAGGACAUCUCCAAGGAUCUCCUGUGUCCUUACACUUGUUUAUCAUGACAACAGUAUAAAACAUGUUUUCUCUAGGCGUUGUGCCAGUAUUCACACUAACAGUCGACAUAGGAGGAAUUUCGCUGCAGGUCACACGUUAAUGUGUUGUGCCAUGUUUAGACUGUGGCAAUAAGUUCAUAAAAAGCCAGUUCCCUGUCAGUUUUAUGGCCUUUUCAUCUCGCAGAUAAUCUGUCUGACAAUCAGCACAGCACUGCGUCAGCUUUGGAAAAUGGUCUGGCAGCACCCAUUGUCAUUCUGCUGUGUCUUGUUUGUAUUUCUUUAAACCAUCACAAUUGUCUUGAGUAGUGCUAAAACCAAGACACAGUGUCUCUCUGUCAGGGUGGAGCUUGUUUUGGUGGAACAUGUUUGGAAAAUUAACAUUUUCUGAAUCCAUUGACUAAACAUGUAAGAACAUCCCUGUGAGACAGAAAUAUUGUGUAUCUUGGUAGAUCUUUACAAUCAUCCACCCGAAGAACUAAACAGUCCUGCCUGACUGUAUCCUCCAAAUUUUAGUCAAAACUUGCCAUUUUCAGCAUUUAGAUUGCUAGCUAGGGAAAGGGAAGAGAAUGUAGUGUGAAUUAUGUGCUCACUGGUAGACUUAUACCCACAGUCUACAUCUGCUGAAUCAGACUACCUGUAUCUUGACCUUCUCCGUGGUUCAAUAAUUUCUGAACAAACGUUCAGAGGCUGGCUUCAUUUUCAAGCCUGCCAGAUGAAAGCUGGUGAAAGAUGUUUCAUUAACUUGACUUUUGAAUAUAAUGGUAAAGUUAUCUUUUACUGCUCAAUUUUAAACUAAAAGUGUGUGACAACCCCGAACAACGUGAAAUGAGGCACGGAGUCGAGGUAAGAGCCCUCUCAAAGAAAUACCUUGUGUUUUAUCUAACAGCUGAGCUGAUUUGUGUAGAGGUGCUUCUUUCUGUGCGUGAUUGUUCUCUGUGGGCAUGGGGGUCAAGUUAACAGUCAGAAAAGCAAGGAGAUUAUUCAGCACAUUUACUUUGAUAUUACGAGUAAGAAGGCUGGAGGGCAGGAGUUAUCCCUGGGGGAAACUGUCUACCUGUGAGAUAUUAGGCAAUUAUUCAAACACACAGACCAUCCAUUACCGACAUCCACUCCAGCAGCGUAACCAUCUCUGCAUGUUCCCUGGCUACAUGCUGCCUCGAAAACAUAUAGACCUCAACAAAAAACAAAAAGCUUAUACACGGACCAAAUGCUUCACAUACACAUACUCAGUAUGAAAGCUUAACUAUGCUGCAGAUCCCAUUCUCAUUACAUGCGUUACUGAUAUAGUUGUGACUCAGAGUUAUUUCAGAUAUUUCACCCCGCUCAGUGAACUGUAGCAGCACAACCAAACACAUGUUUACACUGGCCAAGACCCAGUGUACGCACGACUGCACAAUCAUGAUCUAAGGUUAGAAAGUUGUGGUCAUGAGUAGCAUGCCUGUACAAUUUACCUCAUGAUGUUUUUUGCCAGGAGAGACUUCUACUGUUUCAAGGUCUUCCUUAGAAAUGUUACAUUUAAUCGCAGAAGAUCCCAGUCAGUAAAAUCUGGGGUUAAUACUGUAAUAGGGAUAGAAAUGUAUGUGCCAAGAGUGUGUAUUUUUAUGUAACACAAUCCAGAUGUUGCUUCACAUUUUUCUAUCAAUUUAGAGGGUGCUACUUAGUGCACUAGUGCUUUGAGCAAAAACUUUAGCAUGCUAACGUAUUCUCAAUGACAAUCUCAUUAAAGAAUCUAAAGCGGGUUUAAUGUGUCUGUUUUAUGUGAGAAUGACAACAUUCACUAAUAAGAAGUAAAGGAAGUACAGCAGAGGAAAAUGAAAAUGUUGGUAGUUUUUAGGUAUAGGCUUGUUAUUGGUUUGGCUGAUUAGCAGAUCUGAUAUGUAGAACUUUCUAUUUUUAAUUGUGAAUCUCAUAUUGUAAAUUAUUUAGUUUAUGUAAGACGUGAAAUCGGUGUCCUUUAAUAUGCAAUUUCAACAAAGUUUCGUGCUGAA